UACAGAGGGAGCAAGCGUUGUUCGGAAUUACUGGGCGUAAAGGGCGCGUAGGCGGCGCGGUAAGCGUGCGGUGAAAGCCCGGGGCUCAACCCCGGGUCGGCCGUGCGGACUGCCGGGCUGGAGCACUGUAGAGGCAGGUGGAAUUCCGGGUGUAGCGGUGGAAUGCGUAGAGAUCCGGAAGAACACCGGUGGCGAAGGCGGCCUGCUGGGUAGUAGCUGACGCUGAAGCGCGACAGCGUGGGGAGCAAACAGG
rnacentral:rRNA from 1 species